GGGGAUUUAGCUCAGUGGUAGAGCGCUUGCCUAGCAAGCACAAGGCCCUGGGUUCGGUCCCCAGUUCCA
rfam:Rattus norvegicus chromosome 5, whole genome shotgun sequence.